AGUGAACGCUGGCGGUAGGCCUAACACAUGCAAGUCGAACGGCAGCACAGUAAGAGCUUGCUCUUACGGGUGGCGAGUGGCGGACGGGUGAGGAAUACAUCGGAAUCUACUUUUUCGUGGGGGAUAACGUAGGGAAACUUACGCUAAUACCGCAUACGACCUACGGGUGAAAGCAGGGGAUCUUCGCACCUUGCGCGAUUGAAUGAGCCGAUGUCGGAUUAGCUAGUUGGCGGGGUAAAUGCCCACCAAGGCGACGAUCCGUAGCUGGUCUGAGAGGAUGAUCAGCCACACUGGAACUGAGACACGGUCCAGACUCCUACGGGAGGCAGCAGUGGGGAAUAUUGGACAAUGGGCGCAAGCCUGAUCCAGCCAUACCGCGUGGGUGAAGAAGGCCUUCGGGUUGUAAAGCCCUUUUGUUGGGAAAGAGAAGCAGCAGGUUAAUACCACGCUGUUCUGACGGUACCCAAAGAAUAAGCACCGGCUAACUUCGUG
rnacentral:rRNA from 1 species